AUAUCAUUGCACUAUUAUGUUAUACGCUUGUAGCUUAUGUUAUCCAAAAGAAAAAGAAACUCAUGAAGUUUGUAUUCUGAAAAAUGUUGGAUUGAAACACAUUAGCAAUAUCGCAUAAAAGAUUAUUAUACACUAAAUUUUGUUGUUGAUAUGCCUACAUGCCAACCACUUGCUAGUCACUAGUUGACAGCACAUACCUUUCAAGAUUUCUUGUUUCUUAUUAUUGCAUACUUUUUGGAGCAACUUUUGCAUGAAAUCUGUGUUAGAGAAUCAUAACGAGUGAAUCUGAAUUUGUAGAAGCUGCUAGGAGGCAAAGAUCUCAAAACGACUUAGCAAAGAGCUUUUACAAAAACAUAUCAGAAGAGCACAAGAUAGAGAUCGGUAAUCUAGUUUAGGUUACUGGCCGAAAGACAUACUGUAAAAUUGAAGAAAUUUUUUUUGAACCGUGUCACUGUAGAAGUUAUGUCGUGAUUAGUAAAUUUGUAAUGUUGGCGCUUCUCAGCUUCGUUCGUUCCCCGUCGUUAUAUACCGCCUAACUCCAGUGAUCGGGGGGUAGAAAUGGACACACGCGCCGGCUAUGAGCGUGGAGGUGAAACUAAACACGAACGCAAAUAUAAUGAAUCCAGGCCAUGUCGAAUUUUACUGUUGGGACACAUGCAAGAAGAAUCCCACCGCCAAUCACGUGUUUCCAUCACUCCAUCCACCGCCACGUAUCAUCCAGGCGCUCAUUCUUCAAUCAUAUGACUCGAUCGUCCCGCCAAUUAAAAUUACUUAUAAAACGGUAAUUCGUUUGAUUAAUUAAGUUCAUUAGUACUAUUGACCAUUUGAGCAAAUACAAGUCACCGGACUCUGUUUUUGGGAAAAAAAUUGAAUCCUUUUUGAGUAUCUUUUUUCGACAUUUGUCGCCGAUUUUUUAAAAUCUAUACUACUGUAGUUUAGUCUUCUAAAUUAAUGGCAACCCUCGUAAAGCCAUAAUAUCUAC